rnacentral:lncRNA from 1 species
GAUUACAAUUUUUUUUUUAAUUGUUUCGUCAUAACAUUUGGCUGUUCCCAGAGAGCAGACUGAUUCCUUAAAGAAUUUUUCCAAACAAUGUGGGGAAUUUGGUGCUGAUAAAUUAAGUGGAGCUGCAAGAUUUACAACAACCAAUCAGCCAAUUGUCAUAAGACACUAAAAGCUGAAGCACUGCCGUCACGCAAGUAAUGAUUUAUUCUGAAGAAAAGCUGAACAUAGGGAUGACUCUUGGAAAUCAGAAACUGUUGAUGAACACUGGUGCAGAUAUUGGCAGUGCACAACUUCACUCACUUAAAAAUACAUUGAAAUACAGAUGCUGAGAUAAAAGUUUUGGGUCACACUUUACAAUAAGGUUCAUUAGUUAAUGUUAAUUAAUGCAUUCACUAACAUGAACAAACAAUGAACAAUACAUCUACUACUGUAUUUGUUCAUGUUAGUUUAAGUUAGUUAAUGAAAAUACAGUAGUUCAUUGUUAGUUCAAGUUAACUCAUGGUGCAUUAACUAAUGUUAACAAGCAUGGACUUGGAUGUUAAAAUUGCAUCAGUAAAUGUUCAAUUAUGAUUAAUAAAUGGUGUACAGUACAUCUGUUGUUCAUGAUUAGUUUAUGUUAGUAAAUGCAUUAACUAAUGAACCUUAUUGUAAAAUGUUACCAAGUUUUGGUGACGUUAUGGUGUAAUUUUUUUCCAAGAGCCUGUGUUAGUUGUGUAUUUUAGAGAUUUCAAGUUUUUUUUUCUUCUCUUGUGAUUACUCUCACUUUACAAUCAAUUUGUAAAAAUACUUAAUUAAGAGUAAAUACCUUUAAUAAAAAUGUGUAUUGC